AUUGAACGCUGGCGGCAGGCCUAACACAUGCAAGUCGAGCGAGCGGCGGACGGGUGAGUAAUGCCUAGGAAUCUGCCUGGGAGUGGGGGAUAACGACAGGAAACGGUGGCUAAGACCGAAUACUAUCGGAUGAGCCUCAAUGGGAUUAGCUAGUAGGUGGGGUAAAGGCGCACCUAGGCGACGAUCUCUAGCUGGUCUGAGAGGAUGAUCAGCCACACUGGGACUGAGACACGGCCCAAACUCCUACGGGAGGCAGCAGUGGGGAAUAUUGCACAAUGGGCGCAAGCCUGCUGCAGCCAUGCCGCGUGUGUGAAGAAGGCCUUAGGGUUGUAAAGUACUUUCAUCGGGGAGGCGUUACCCGCAGAAGAAGCACCGGCUAACUCCGUGCCAGCAGCCGCGGUAAUAC
rnacentral:rRNA from 1 species